CGAAUUGUUACCUUAGCAAUCGGUUCCAAAGUAGUAAGGUGUUCAGAAGGGCUCUGAGGAACUAACGAAAACAAGCUAGCAUCGGAUGUAAGCUCUGUAAUUUUAUUAACUGUAAAUGGAGCAUAAAUUUCGGGAUUAAGUCCUGGGGGCUUAUUCGAAUUUUUAUAAGCAUAAUAACCACCUGCGCAACCAAUAGCAAGACCUGCAGCUAAGAUUUUAGGCAAUUUCCUGUAAGUCGAGCUACUCAUUGUUUUCUUUGUAAGUUUUACUGUAUCAAGGGGAGGUUGGAAUUGCGUGUACUUAUAUUCAUCGUUUAUGAAAGCCAAAUCCAAUCACAGGCUUCGUAGGAAGUAUCCGAUAUAAUACCAACAAAAUGUACUUUGUUAAUUACACAACUCAGUACAAAACGUCUGAUUAUUAUCUAAGGUUAAUAGUUUUUUAACAAAAAU